CGUGCUGCUAAGUUUGGGGGGAGGGUGUUGCGGGGGCUUGCUUCGUCCUCUCCAGUUAUCAGCCCCUCAUUCGCUCCAUCACCUAAAGUGUUAAAAAAAAAAAAAAAGGCUCUUGGGUCCCACCGUAAGAGCGCAUAAAGAGAGGAGGUACAAUGACCGUCCUUUGCCAUUGUAGGGCUCCCUAAUUUAUGCGUUUUUAGACCCUUAAGCAUCAUUUUGUGGGCAACCAAACGGGCACUUCCAAAUUAGCUCAAAGUAUCCAAGCCCAGAGAAGAGAGAAAACACACAUACACUGAUAAAUACGCAGAUGCUAACUUGUAAGUAUUCUGUUUUUCCUCUGUGGGGAUGGAAAUUGAACAAGGGAAAGAGGGGGAACAUUUUUAUUUCCUAAAAUGUUUCCUACUGAGUUUGCACUUGUAAAGUUUUUUCUGCUUUCUUUCCCUUUGUGUGUGUUCUUACUCUCUUUCUCUCAGUAAAUAUCUCUGACUUAAGUUUAUUCUCCCAUCACUACCGUGAUCAAAAAGAAGAGAAAGACAAAAUAUCAAAACUUCCAAAUAUUUCUAGUUGUUCGCAACGGGUCUUUUUGUUGUUGUUGGAAAAAUAUAACCUGUUCAAGCGAUAUGAAAAUGGAUGCAGAAAUCAGGUCUUUUAUGAACUUGAAACACAUCGGCUAGGUCUUCAUCCUCACCUGCACUGGAAUUACCUACUUAAGAAAAACAAACUAAUGAUACACAAAGAAGCACUUAUAAUGUUUCUGUCAUCCUUCAAGAGGUCUGAAUAGAUCAUGGAACCAUGUUCAAGGGCUGCUGUAUUAAUGAAAGAAGUACAUGAUCAUCCCAAUAGAUGCAGAAAGAGAAUGUGACAAAAUUCGACUGCCAUUCAUGAUAAAAACUCUCAGAAAACUAGGACUAGAAGGGAACUUCCUCAACCUGACAAAGCAUCUCUACAAAAAACCUGUCAGUAACAUCACAUUUGAUGAUAAAAGAGAAAAAGAGUGUUUUUCUGGCCGGGCACAAUGGCUCACACCUGUAAUCCCAGGACU
rnacentral:lncRNA from 1 species